GGGCCCGCACAAGCGGUGGAGCAUGUGGUUUAAUUCGAUGAUACGCGAGGAACCUUACCAGGGCUUAAAUGUAAGUUGCAUUAGAUAGAGAUAUCUAUUUCUUCGGACCACUUACAAGGUGCUGCAUGGUUGUCGUCAGCUCGUGCCGUGAGGUGUCAGGUUAAGUCCUAUAACGAGCGCAACCCCUGUUGUUAGUUGCCAGCGAUUCAAGUCGGGAACUCUAACAAGACUGCCGGUGCAAACCGUGAGGAAGGUGGGGAUGACGUCAAAUCAUCACGGCCCUUACGUCCUGGGCUACACACGUGCUACAAUGGUAGGGACAGAGAGCAGCCACUACGCGAGUAGGAGCGAAUCUAUAAACCUAGUCGUAGUCCGGAUUGGAGUCUGCAACUCGACUCCAUGAAGUCGGAAUC
rnacentral:rRNA from 1 species